rnacentral:rRNA from 1 species
CCUACGGGAGGCAGCAGUGGGGAAUAUUGGACAAUGGGGGCAACCCUGAUCCAGCCAUGCCGCGUGUGUGAAGAAGGCCCUCGGGUUGUAAAGCACUUUCAGUGAGGAAGAACGCCUGGUGGUUAAUACCCAUCAGGAAAGACAUCACUCACAGAAGAAGCACCGGCUAACUCCGUGCCAGCAGCCGCGGUAAUACGGAGGGUGCGAGCGUUAAUCGGAAUUACUGGGCGUAAAGCGCGCGUAGGUGGCUUGAUAAGCCGGUUGUGAAAGCCCCGGGCUCAACCUGGGAACGGCAUCCGGAACUGUCAAGCUAGAGUGCAGGAGAGGAAGGUAGAAUUCCCGGUGUAGCGGUGAAAUGCGUAGAGAUCGGGAGGAAUACCAUUGGCGAAGGCGGCCUUCUGGACUGACACUGACACUGAGGUGCGAAAGCGUGGGUAGCAAACAGGAUUAGAUACCCCGGUAGUC